rnacentral:rRNA from 1 species
UGGGGAAUAUUGCACAAUGGGGGAAACCCUGAUGCAGCGACGCCGCGUGAGCGAAGAAGGUUUUCGAAUCGUAAAGCUCUGUCCUAUGAGAAGAUAAUGACGGUAUCAUAGGAGGAAGCCCCGGCUAAAUACGUGCCAGCAGCCGCGGUAAUACGUAGGGGGCUAGCGUUAUCCGGAUUUACUGGGCGUAAAGGGUGCGUAGGUGGUCUUUCAAGUCGGUGGUUAAAGGCUACGGCUCAACCGUAGUUAGCCUCCGAAACUGGAAGACUUGAGUGCAGGAGAGGAAAGUGGAAUUCCCAGUGUAGCGGUGAAAUGCGUAGAUAUUGGGAGGAACACCAGUAGCGAAGGCGGCUUUUUGGCCUGCAACUGACACUGAGGCGCGAAAGCGUGGGGAGCAAACAGG